AUUUGUCCCCUAAAUAGGGACUUGUAUGAACGGCUAACUGAGGUUCUAACUGUCUCAUUAGACCAAUCAAUGAAACUGAUCUCCCAGUACAAAAGCUGAGAUAAACCCAUAAGACGAGAAGACCCUGUGGAGCUUUAAAUUCAUACUAUAAACACCCCCGCCAACUAUUUUUAGUUGGGGCGACUUUGGAACAAAACAAAACUUCCAUGCCAGGUCCCUAUCUAGGCCUACACGCCAAAAUAACUCUUUAUUGAUCCAGCUCACUUAGCUGACCAACGAACCAAGUUACCCCAGGGAUAACAGCGCUAUCCUCUUCAAGAGUCCUUAUCGACAAGAGGGUUUACGACCUCGAUGUUGGAUCAGGACACCCCGGUGGUGCAACCGCUA
rnacentral:rRNA from 1 species